rnacentral:rRNA from 1 species
UACGUAGGGUGCGAGCGUUAAUCGGAAUUACUGGGCGUAAAGCGUGCGCAGGCGGUUGGCAAAGUCAGCUGUGAAAGCCCCGGGCUUAACCUGGGAAUGGCGGUUGAAACUAAUCGACUCGAAUCUGGCAGAGGGGGGUGGAAUUCCACGUGUAGCAGUGAAAUGCGUAGAGAUGUGGAGGAACACCGAUGGCGAAGGCAGCCCCCUGGGCUGAGAUUGACGCUCAGGCACGAAAGCGUGGGGAGCAAACAGG